AACGCUAGCGGCAGGCCUAACACAUGCAAGUCGAGCGGCAACAGGAAGAACUUGUUUCUUUGCUGGCAAGCGGCGAACGGGUGAGUAAUGUCUGGGGAUCUACCCAAUAGAGGGGGAUAACUACUGGAAACGGUAGCUAAUACCGCAUAAUGUCGAAAGACCAAAGUGGGGGACCUAUUAAUAAUAGGCCUCAUACUGUUGGAUGAACCCAGAUGAGAUUAGCUAGUAGGCGGGGUAAUAGCCCACCUAGGCAACGAUCUCUAGCUGGUCUGAGAGGAUGACCAGCCACACUGGAACUGAGACACGGUCCAGACUCCUACGGGAGGCAGCAGUGGGGAAUAUUGCACAAUGGGGGAAACCCUGAUGCAGCCAUGCCGCGUGUGUGAAGAAGGCCUUCGGGUUGUAAAGCACUUUCAGUGGAGAGGAAAAAAAAUAUCGCAAAUAGCGUUAUUUAUUGACAUUACCCACAAAAGAAGCACCGGCUAACUCCGUGCCAGCAGCCGCGGUAAUACGGAGGGUGCAAGCGUUAAUCGGAAUUACUGGGCGUAAAGCGUGCGCAGGCGGUUUAUUAAGUCAGAUGUGAAAUCCCCAGGCUUAACCUAGGAACUGCAUUUGAAACUGAUAGACUAGAGUUGUGUAGAGGGGGGUAGAAUUUCAGGUGUAGCGGUGAAAUGCGUAGAUAUCUGGAGGAAUACCAAUGGCGAAGGCAGCCCCCUGGACACAAACUGACGCUCAAGCACGAAAGCAUGGGUAGCAAACAGGAUUAGAUACCCUGGUAGUCCAUGCUGUAAACAAUGUCGAUUUGAAGGUUAUGGUCUUGAACCAUGGCUUUCGAAGCUAACGCGUUAAAUCGACCGCCUGGGGAGUACGGCCGCAAGGUUAAAACUCAAAUGAAUUGACGGGGGCCCGCACAAGCGGUGGAGCAUGUGGUUUAAUUCGAUGCAACGCGAAAAACCUUACCUACUCUUGACAUCCAGAGUAACAAGGAAGAGAUACCUUGGUACCUUAGGGAGCUCUGAGACAGGUGCUGCAUGGCUGUCGUCAGCUCGUGUUGUGAAAUGUUGGGUUAAGUCCCGCAACGAGCGCAACCCUUAUCCUUUGUUACCAGCGAAUAAAGUCGGGAACUCAAAGGAGACUGCCGGUGAUAAACUGGAGGAAGGUGAGGACGACGUCAAGUCAUCAUGGCCCUUACGAGUAGGGCUACACACGUGCUACAAUGGCGUAUACAAAGAGCAGCAAUCUUGCGAAAGUUAGCAAAUCUCAUAAAGUACGUCUUAGUCCGGAUUGGAGUCUGCAAUUCGACUCUAUGAAGUAGGAAUCGCUAGUAAUCGUGGAUCAGAAUGCCACGGUGAAUACGUUCCCGGGCCUUGUACACACCGCCCGUCACACCAUGGGAGUGGGUUGUAAAAGAAGUAAGUAGCUUAACCUUAUUACUAAGGAAAGCGCUUACCACUUUAUGAUUCAUGACUGGGGUG
rnacentral:rRNA from 1 species